AUGUAUAUAUAUAUCAGGUAUGUAUAUAUUUCAAUGCAAAAUCAAUGUUUAAUGCACUUCAGUAAUAUUGAAAAUAAUAAUAAUAAUGAUAAUAAUAAUAAUAGUAAUGAUAAAAAAGUAUUGGGAAAAAAGGCAACCAAUUUGCAGUGACUCUCUCUUAGAAUCGGUAAAAUUUUUUGAUUUAUUUUCCUUCUCAACAGUUUUUGUAUUGUUUUUGUUGUUGUUGUUGUUUUUGUUGUCGUUUUUUUUUUUCUCUCAAAGAGGAAAAAAAAGGAAGGAAGGAAGGAAAGAAGAAAGAAAGGGAAAAAAAAAAAUGAAAGAAAGAGAAAAAUCUCAGAACGGAAGUAGAAUCGGUGUUGUGUUUUAUCUACUGUUGUUGAAAUUAUGGAAUGGUGAAUAUUUCCUGAUGAACUUUUAAACAAUUAAUUGUAUUAAUUAAUGCUCAACCAAUUAUUACUACUAAUUGCCAAAAUGAGAACCUAAGAAAAAAAAAAAAAAGAAAAGAAAAUGAUAUGGCUAAAAAAAAAAAAAAUUGGAAAAAAAAAAUGCCUCACUUUUUUUUUUUCAUAACAUAUCAAAUAUAUUUGUUUAAUUAAUUAAUUAAUUUAAUUUUAAUUAAUUGAAAUUUUAAUUAAAUUAUAUCUUGUAAAUUAUAAAUAACCAGAUAAUCUGGUUUCUGAAUCUAAUUCCUGGAACUCACCUCAGUUGCAUGCAAUUCUUCAAUCAAAUAAAUGAAUUAAUCAAAAUGACUAAUGACUAAUGAAUAAAAUAAUGAAUAAAAAAAAAAUAAUGAUGAUAAUUGAAAUCU
rnacentral:lncRNA from 1 species